AUGUGUGUGUGUGCGUGUGUGUGUGUAAACACAAUGUAUGUGUGUGUAUGUGUACCCAACAUGUGGAACCCUAGAGUGCACAAUAUGGCCGUCAUGCGUGAUGCCAGUGCACGUACACUGAAGUACCAUCACCACGGCGACCAACCCAUCACGGCCGAUUGUAACGGAGUGCGGCACGGAGUGAAGUGUCCGAGGAGUGUAUCUACAGAGCGUACAAAACGUGACAGAAGUACCCAUCACCACGGUAACCGCCAGCACUCAGCCUCCACCAGACAAGAUGGCAAGGUGGUGAUCAUCUGGCACUUACACUUGUGUCUCCAUACACACACAAAAACACCCACAUACACCCCCAUAACCCCCCCCCCCCCCACACACACACACAGACACACACAGACAAAACAAGCCCAUUUUCCACCAGCAGAUCCCAGGACCAGACGGGGCUUUCCCCUGCCUCUCUGCCAGACCUUUCCGGGACAUCGCUCCCACCUAUCGGCUGCUGUUUCCUGCCCCUCUGACUCCUGA
rnacentral:lncRNA from 1 species